UUGUUGAAGUUGGCAACAUAAGAAUCGACAACGUUGUUGCAACGUUUCCACUCGUAACGAAUCUACAUACACAAAUUUAUAACGUUGUCACAACGUUGAUAGUGGUCAUCUUUGCGUAUCUACUAAAAGGUCAUAACAUUGUUUGUCUUUCAAAGUUUGAAAUAAAUAUAUUAUUUCUUAAAAGAGUAUUUUUCAAUCAUUUAAAUUACUUUUAAUAUUUAAUUUUAGUUUUAUGUUAGUUUGAUACUGUUAAACUAUACACUAAAAUGUAAGUUUAGUUGCAAACUGACUUCAAAAUUCCGUGUUUGAUUGUUUAUUUCUUUUGUCGUCGUUUUAUGCUCGUUCAACAUUUUGGAAUUUCACUUGGUUUUAUCGUCGGAUUUUCUUGAAAAUAUGGAGGUACAGUUUCUUGGUGGUAUUGGUGGACAGGGCAUUUUUUCAUGUGUCAACGCAGUGCUCAGGAGAUUGAUGACAAAUUCUGCCGCAUCCCAAUACAGCUGGAGUGGGUUCAAAGGAAAGAAAACAUUUAUAAAUUUAAGGCUGUCACAAGUUGUGCUACAUGUACGGUUACAUGUGCCAGGGGCUAUUGAAACUGAAGUGUCAGAGCAGAUACAAGCUUGGUUGAAGCAUGCCAAAACAAGACUUGUCAGAACAUCACACUAUUUCUUCUAUGGCUACCGCGAGCUCCCGCGCCGCGCAUCCCCGGAUCACCCCCAGGGACAGCCACUAUCUACUUCACCCUGCCAGCUAAGGUAAGCUGCACUUCGCCCCACACAAACCUGUUAUGUUGCCUUUUUUUUGGGCUUAACUUCGCCCGUCAUAAACUGCCUGCUAACCAAGCUAAUCCAGGUGGAUUAUUGGUUACAGGCAGGGUUCCAGAAUCCCAGAGGGUUCCAGAAUCCCAGAGUACUUCAAGGACCCCAGACCAGUUCAAGAUGGCGGCCCAGUUCCGGCGCCACAUUUUGCACCUCAACCUGUAACUCGUGAGCCUCUAUAACGGAGUCUCCCUCCAUCUUUCGGCACCCCUCAAAAAGAAGUGAAGAACAGUUUAUAACUCCGCCAGUUUUAGGACGUUUUCCAUAUUAUUAUAAAAUAUUGUAUUUUAAACACAUAUAUUUGUUUGAUGAGCCUGCGAGCUCAAUGUUCCUAAACAGUUGAACAUAGCAUAGUAUGAAAUGGUGUUCCCCCCCCCCCCCCCCCCCCCGGCCCCUCUUUCUUCUUUCUUUUAUUCGUUAGUUACUCAAUGUAAUGUAUCAAAAAUAAGAAUCUGACAUUGUUAGCAGUUUUGUUUGUAAUGGCUGUAAUGCCGUAAGAUAUUUUCUAAUGUAAGAAACCUAUCAAUGACAAGAUACUAAACUACUAAUCAACAGUAAAAGCCUCUAAUGAAACCAAACCAUACGAGUGUUUUCAUUUGCUGCUACUUGAAACCACAAUCCACGUAACCUUUCCUACUGUCAGGGAGGUUAAUUUUAAAUUGUGUUUGUAAGUGGGCUGUGCCCCUCUGGCAAGUUCUUUUAGAUAAUUAGCCUGACGCUUCCACCGGACAUUUAUUAUCAAUAAUUAUGGUUUUGUUUUGAGCACAGCACCACGGUUACACACCCAAACUUGCAGUAAUUCACAAUUAAUGUUUAUUUAAAGUUGAAGAUUAAAAUUUUGGUUAUUGAAGAAAGGAUGUUAAUGUUGAGCAUUUUAAAACGUCCACUAUUAAUGGUGAGAUUUUAUCACACAAUUCUUAUUUCUGACUUUGUGUAUAAUCGCUUGUUAAUAUUGAUUUAAUUUCAGAAAUUUUAUAGUAAACAUUUGUUCUAAAAUAACACGGCUACCGAACAUAAAAGGUUAAAAAAAACUUUUCAGAUGUGAUGUUUGGAUAUUCAGUGCUGCCAAUCAUCUUUCUGCAAUAUUUCUUAUGUGGUAAACCGAAAAUUGCCGAACAUGCAUGAAGUUGCCAUAUUUACAAGAAUUUUAUAUGUUGCUUUUAAAGUUAUGUUAGUGGUACCACCGUAGUACAAUAUUUAUUUAAUUAAAAACUCCACUAUACAACUUAAUUUUUAAGCAUUAUUCAUUAAAGUUCAAAAGGGAGAGAUAAAAUAUCAACUUAAUUUUCACGUUCACGUCACCAAAGAUUUGUUUACAAUGGGUAAAGAACCUGCCAUGACCUCAAAACAUGCAAUCACGUAUAAUAAGUAAAGUUUACUCUCUUCGCUUUCAACUUUUAUUGUUCCAUCACAACUUUUCUAACGAUUUUCUAUAAAUACAGCACUGUUACAACGUAAAUUGAAGGAAACACUUUCGUAUAACACUGGAAAAUAAUGCAUUUAUACUGUAGGGAAAAUGACGGUGCAAGAGAAAAAAUACGUUAAUCACGGGAAUUCGUUGAUCCCGGGUUCGUACAAAUGAGGUUCUAUUGUACUUUAUCAAUUGUUCAGGCUAGCCACAGGGAUAGGUACAUCCAGCAUAUCAAAUAAGAGAGCAUAUUUUUUGAAAAGUUUUUGGAACUGUUUCACUUUGUGUACUGAAGGAAAUGUGAUGGGCCGCUCUGUCUCUAGUUAUGAUCAUAACAAUGCAAGCUUCUAACAGCUAGGGUUUUCUUUUCAAAAGUUGGAUUUCAAAAAGUCUUUCCAGUGGUGAACGAACUAUACUUUUAAUAAAGCAAAAAAUCCACUGUAAGCAAGUACAUAUUAUAUUUAACACUGCAGUGUUUUGCAACAAUAAGGAAUAAAUAACUUUUUAACUGAAUAAGUGUGUAUCAUUUGCUCACUACAAAAGAGUGGUUGGCUUUUCCUACCUCUGUAUUAUUUAUUUUAAAUGUCAUAAAAUAAUUAUUUAAAAUGUUUGGUAAUUAACAGAUGGAAUUAUGGUAAUUCAGAGACUAAACAUGUUUUUAUUUCCAAUCUUCCAGCAUUUCAUAUACUCAUUUUGGUGUUAUGAAAUGCACUCAUUCAGGUUUUGAAAUGUUCACUACAAAUGUUGACCCAACACAAACCGUGAUGGAUUUCCCUUUAAUUUGUUUAUUUAUGUAGGCAUAACAUGGGUGUUGUCUAAACACUACAUUUUUUAUAUAUAUAGCCUUUGCAUUACUAAGAAUGGUAUUUUCUUUUUUCAGGAAGUUGCCAGUUUCUGACCAGUGUUGAAAAAAGAAGCAUAAGAACUUAAGUGAACUACUUUGUAAUGAAUUUUACCAGGACAUGAAUUAUUGUGCCAAAUGAAUGUUUAAAAAUACCUUGCAUAUAAUACUUUGAUACUCUACUUUGAAAACUAUAAAAUACUUUGUAGAAAUAUUGCAGAAUUAAACUUUUACUUACACUUA